rnacentral:lncRNA from 1 species
GGAGGCAGGAAAAUUUACCAAAUCAGGCUUGUAUAUAUUAUGCACAACAGAAGCGCCAGUGAGAAGCGACACAACAACAACGACACACGACCAUGCCAACGAUGGAGUUCCCGUGGGUUGCUUCCCUCCAAAUUUCUUAUUCAUCUCUCUCUAUCUUUCUGCGUCUCUCUAGCCAGCCCUUUGUAUUCACCUUCUUUCCCCUUUAGCUUCAGGAAAGUAAAUACUAUUAUGACAAUUUAUAAUAUUUAUACAAAUUCAUGUUCACAUGUAACUGUGUUUAUUAUUAAUUGUCUUUAUACAUGUCAGCAAAUCCGGAGCAGAGAGAAUUAAACUGCAAUUGAAAUGAGAAAUCUGAGCAAUGUGUUUACUAAGCCCAUGUUUGAUAGUUAUUAAAAUCAGAUUUUUAAUAGAUUUUGAUAAAAGUUUAUGAAAUGUGUGAGUGAAAAUUUGUGAGUCCCAUAAAAUAUGUUGUUAAAAUUAAUUGUUGACUUUAAUUUAAAAUCUAAAUUAAAAUUUGUAUCAAAGAGGGGCUAAGUUGAGUGGUAAUAGACUCACAACCUACAGGUUGUCAGUUAGGGUUAAGUCAUGUAUAUGCAUGUAUUAAUUUUUGGAGACAACAAGCCAAGAAACCCAAGUGAUGAACAGUUAACAGUUAAAAAAUAAGUUGCAAGGGAUAAACAAAGCAAUGAAAGAGCCCAAAUAAUUACUGUUACCUUACUUCAUUAGCAAGUAUUAGUAGUGAAUAAUUCAUGUAUUCUCAAUCAUCAUAUAUCAUAUAGGAGUGUGUCUUGAUCAUACUAUUUAGCUGGAAGACCACAAUGUUGUCGAUAAUUACAACCUAAUAUAAGUCGAAACAUAUCCUUAUAAAUCCGAACAUCGCUUACUGUAUUAUUGUCAAUUUCCCAAAACAAACCAUCACGGAUAAAGCUAUUAUAUAAACAUCACAAAUGGGGAGAAUCUAACAGGCACUCUGCAACUAACUAAUUAAUAAACUUUUUAUUUGAACAAAUUUAUUAUCAAUCUUGGCUAGAAAAAGUUGAAGGAGAACCAAUCCUAUGUCGUCUAUCACAAGUAACCGCUAUUAAGUAUUAACUGAACUCAUGGGCUAGAGAAAAUUGAAGUAGAAGAUUGGUAACUGAACAAAGUAACUUGCUUGGAAGCUAGAUAGAAAUUCAGCAACCGCUAUUUAGUAUUAACUGAACUCAUGGGCUAGAGAAAAUUGAAGUAAAAGAUUGGUAGCUGAACAAAGUGACUUACUUGGAAGCUUGAUAGAAAUUCAGCCGCAAGUGGAAGAUAAGAACCAGAUAUUACAAUUCUGUAUUGAUUGAAUUCUCCAGUACAAAUAAAAUUAACAAGCAGCCUUUCACGAGGACUGUAUCUCUCCUCAGUCUCACUACACCCGAGAGAUUGGUUGCCCAUCUUUUCCCAUUCGUGACUUCUUUAUAUUCUGUUCUGUAACUACUUUUCUC